AUAUAGAUAGUUCUCUCUCUAUAUAUGAUGAAUAACAUCCUAGUACAAAAAACAUUGUUGAUUCUUGUAAUAGGUCUCUCUUUAUAAUUACUGCUUUUGUUGUGUUAAGAUCAAUAGCCUUACAAUUUAGAGGCAUAGAAGUUUUUAAUUUGUGGAGUAUGCAGAUUUCAACAUGUAUUAACAGUAGCCUUCUACUUGUUAUUUAACUUAAGUGAAACUGUUAAAACUUUUUUGAGGCUAGCAUAGUAUCUUAGUUCUAAUCCACUUAUCCUGCUAAUCAAGAUAUUUGCUUAUCUUCAUAAAAAUUUAAUAUACAUUAAAUAUAUUUUUUGUUAGAAUUAAUUCAAAUUGAUUUAAUAAAAAUAUUAUAUAUUACGGCUAAAAAAUUUAUCUGCCAUACGCUUGUGAUAGUGUAUUAUGUCCACUUAUCAGGUUGUUUAAAAUUUCAUUUUUUUAAGAAAAUUUUUAUCUUUUCUAAUAAUCUAUUAACAAUGCAACUUUACAUCCUCAUUCAAAUUUUUUAUCUUAUCAUCUGGCUUUAACCUUAUCCACCACCGCAAUGGAUAUAGUCAGUCUCAUUGACGGCCGGUCAUCUUCUACCCCGCUUCUAUCCCUCAUCAUACAAAACUCUUCCUGCCUACCUCCUUUCCAGCAUCACUGCAACUCUUUAAUCCUCAAUCCCACAAGACAGUACAGGUGAUGUUUAAUUAAGAAAGUUGUAGGAUCCCAUUUGUGUCCUGUGCUGCAGACUUGUGAGUUCCACUGGCAGCAACACUCUCAGCAGCUGCUGUCUGAUGUUCCAGCCUCGUAACUCCUCGAUGCGGGGGAUGCCCAGCUUGAGCUACAUUGAAGGCCUCAACUCCUCUGGGGGACUCAAAGCCAACAAUAAGGUGUCGUCUCUCGGCGUUCCGGCAUGCACCGCCCGGUCCUGAGCUCUCUCUGACCUCCAUCGACUGGCAAGCAGAGCAGGGUCGGAGCGGUCUCUUCCACCCGCAACGAUCAUGAACGGCCUGGUGCUGGUCGGCGUCGCCGUCGGGUUCUAAGAGUGGAGGAAGCAUUUGCAUGUUUCUUCUUGCAUUCUGAUCGUGGUGGAACUGCACGAGACGUCUCUUGUCAGCUCGAAUCCCGUCUUCGUCAAUUCUCCCAAACGAGAAGGGUUACCUCUACCACGACGUAAUGGUUCACGCAAGGAGUGCGUUCUAUGACAAUCCACCAUUUGCCGAACUACAUAGCAAUAGAGUGGAAGUAAACAACUGUAAAACCAUGAGUUUGCCAAUAAAACAAAAUAGAGUCUAAAUUUCACAAAAAAAAAUAUGAUAAAUACAUACAGUAUAUAUAUAUAUAUAUACCAUUUUUUUAAUCAUUAAUUUCGGUCACUUACACGUCCCAAAAUCACAGCAAUGGAAAUGGACGAACAGAAAAGAGCAAGGAAGGUGGAAGGAGAUACCAACCGAACGGUGGAAACGCCAUGCGAAGGAUAAGGAUGAUAAGGUAGGCACCAGCACCAGAAAGCGAGAACGGGACGUGGGACCUUUGCCACUGUAGAGCGUAUGACCUUUAUAAUUACUUUGCCUUUUUCUUGCAGUGCUGCUGCUGUCUUGUAUGUUGGUGAUGGCGACGUCCGGCGGAGCAGCGUCGAGUGUCGUCCGAAUCGUAUCCUUUCUCAGCCACAGAUCGUUCUUGGGAGCUCUCGUCGGUGCAUGCAUGACGUACCACUGCAAGGAGGGCGACAGACCACGCGAGAAUCGCGCGGCGAUUCUUGUCAUGCGUUCAUCACGGAGACCACCCACCA
rnacentral:lncRNA from 1 species